rnacentral:rRNA from 1 species
GACGAACCACCCAAACGUUAUUCGGAAUUACUGGGCUUAAAGAGUGCGUAGGCGGCCCCUGAAAAGUAAGGUGUGAAAUCCCACAGCUCAACUGUGGAACUGCGCUUUAAACUACAGGGCUAGAGGGAUACAGAGGUAAGCGGAACUGAUGGUGGAGCGGUGAAAUGCGUUGAUAUCAUCAGGAACACCGGUGGCGAAGGCGGCUUACUGGGUAUCUUCUGACGCUGAGGUACGAAAGCUAGGGGAGCGAACGGG